rnacentral:rRNA from 1 species
AACGCGAAAGGCCCCUUCGGGGGCCGAGUAGAGUGGCGCACGGGUGAGUAACACGUAGGUAAUUUGCCUUCGGGUGGGGAAUAACAGCCGGAAACGGCUGCUAAUACCGCAUAAUGCAGCGGCUCGACAUCGAGACAGUUGUUAAAGCGGGGGAUCGCAAGACCUCGCGCCUGAAGAGAAGCCUGCGGCGGAUUAGCUUGUUGGUAGGGUAAUGGCCUACCAAGGCGACGAUCCGUAACCGGCCUGAGAGGGCGGUCGGUCACACUGACACUGACAUACGGGUCAGACUCCUACGGGAGGCAGCAGUCGGGAAUUUUGGGCAAUGGGCGAAAGCCUGACCCAGCAACGCCGCGUGAAGGAUGAAAUCCCUCGGGAUGUAAACUUCGCAAGAAUGGGAAGAAUAAGUGCGGGCUAAUACCACGCAUGAUGACGGUACCAUUUGUAAGCUCCGGCUAACUCCGUGCCAGCAGCCGCGGUAAUACGGGGGGAGCAAGCGUUGUUCGGAUUUACUGGGCGUAAAGGGCGCGUAGGCGGUCGUGACAAGUCACUUGUGAAAUCUCCGGGCUUAACUCGGAACGGUCAAGUGAUACUGUCGGACUAGAGUGCAGAAGGGGCAACUGGAAUUCUCGGUGUAGCGGUGAAAUGCGUAGAUAUCGAGAGGAACACCUGCGGCGAAGGCGGGUUGCUGGGCUGACACUGACGCUGAGGCGCGAAAGCCAGGGGAGCGAACGGGAUUAGAUACCCCGGUAGUCCUGGCCUUAAACGAUGAAUGCUUGGUGUCUC